GAGUGUGCUUGGUAUGAUGAUCAGCUCCUCUAAUGCAGGGCUCAGAAUUGAACUCCUGCGUGACGUCAUGAUUGGCAAUUAUCAGGACCUGAGUUGACAGAGAGAACUGGAAAAAGACACAACACAGGGUUUGUUUACCAAAUUCCAGAGGCAGAGAGAGGACAACUUUUGCUUCAAAAUACCAGAAUACCUUUUCUAAUAAACCAUAGUCGUACAAGUUUCCUGGCUGAAGACAUGGACAAGGAGAGAGCCUCCAUUUAUAGAAGACAGCAGCAGGCGAUAUACUUGAGACUUACAUGGCGAAAUGAGUGGCGGCAUCAAAUCCACCGUCUACCCUACACUCUAGAGCCGGCAGAAACCCCUCAUAACAAGGGCACUGAACAUACCCUGGCCCAGACUGAAAAUGUGCAGGGAUCAUUUCACACACACACACGCACACACACACACACACACACACUACAAACUAACAUAACUUUGAAAGUAAACCUACACCCACAGUAUAUGCAUUAAAAGACUAC